rnacentral:lncRNA from 10 species
GUCUUGAAAUGGGUCAUGAUGAGCAAACUAUUACUCUUGAUAAGCCAGCUCUCUAGUUCACAGCCUAAACAUUCACAGGCGAGUGUUUCCUAGAGCAAGCACUUAAAUUAUUUUUGAUCAGUCUCAGCAUGGUCUAACACAGGGAUAGGAAAAUGUAUCUGUCCCAGUAUCGUUUAACCCAGGGCCAAAAAUUAUGGUGAUUUCACCUCCUGCAUUUACUUUUUUUUAAUCAGAUAGUGGGG